ACGGGAGGCAGCAGUGGGGAAUAUUGCACAAUGGGCGCAAGCCUGAUGUAGCGAUGCCGCGUGAGGGAAGAAGGUUUUCGGAUUGUAAACCUCUGUCAUCGGGGACGAUAAUGACUGUACCCGAGAAGGAAGCUCCGGCUAACUACGUGCCAGCAGCCGCGGUAAUACGUAGGGAGCAAGCGUUAUCCGGAAUUACUGGGUGUAAAGGGAGUGUAGGCGGGACUGUAAGUCAGAUGUGAAAUAUGCCGGCUCAACUGGCAGACUGCAUUUGAAACUGCGGUUCUUGAGUGAAGUAGAGGUAAGCGGAAUUCCUAGUGUAGCGGUGAAAUGCGCAGAUAUUAGGAGGAACAUCAGUGGCGAAGGCGGCUUACUGGGCUUUAACUGACGCUGAAGCUCGAAGGUGCGGGUAUCGAACAGGAUUAGAUACCCUGGUA
rnacentral:rRNA from 1 species